rnacentral:rRNA from 1 species
AACGUAGGACGCAAGCGUUAUCCGGAAUUACUGGGCGUAAAGGGCUCGUAGGCGGCCAACUAAGUCAGACGUGAAAUCCCUCGGCUUAACCGGGGAACUGCGUCUGAUACUGGAUGGCUUGAGUUUGGGAGAGGGAUGCGGAAUUCCAGGUGUAGCGGUGAAAUGCGUAGAUAUCUGGAGGAACACCGGUGGCGAAGGCGGCAUCCUGGACCGACACUGACGCUGAGGAGCGAAAGCCAGGGGAGCAAACGGG